CGCGGGGUAGAGCAGUUGGUAGCUCGUCGGGCUCAUAACCCGGAGGUCGAAGGUUCAAGUCCUUUCCCCGCAA
rfam:Eubacterium sp. 68-3-10 unitig_0:quiver, whole genome shotgun sequence.